AACGCAUAUUGCACUCUCUGGUAUUCCGGAGAGUAUGCCUGUUUCAGUAUCAGUAAACACUCUCAAACACCUCCAAGGAGGGGUUUGGAUUUGAGCGUUGCCGAGAAAAGCUUCCCCCUCUUUUGGGCUUUUUUUUUUUUUUCGGCCCGCUCGAAAUGCAAGUACACAGGACAGGAUCCCCAGACCCCCGAGGUGUGAAAAAAUAAAGCGUAGUAGUUGACUUGAUCGUCUUCUUUCGCUGAAAAAGAACGCCCCGGGUUGGUAGGACCCUGCUGUGCAAAUUCGCAGGAAGAAAAGGAAUCUUUUCACUUCUUGAUCUGAAAUCAGGUAGGACUACCCGCUGAACUUAA
rnacentral:misc_RNA from 1 species